rnacentral:rRNA from 1 species
GAUGAACGCUGGCGGCGUGCCUAAUACAUGCAAGUCGAGCGAACAGACGAGGAGCUUGCUCCUCUGACGUUAGCGGCGGACGGGUGAGUAACACGUGGAUAACCUACCUAUAAGACUGGGAUAACUUCGGGAAACCGGAGCUAAUACCGGAUAAUAUAUUGAACCGCAUGGUUCAAUAGUGAAAGACGGUUUUGCUGUCACUUAUAGAUGGAUCCGCGCCGCAUUAGCUAGUUGGUAAGGUAACGGCUUACCAAGGCAGCGAUGCGUAGCCGACCUGAGAGGGUGAUCGGCCACACUGGAACUGAGACACGGUCCAGACUCCUACGGGAGGCAGCAGUAGGGAAUCUUCCGCAAUGGGCGAAAGCCUGACGGAGCAACGCCGCGUGAGUGAUGAAGGUCUUCGGAUCGUAAAACUCUGUUAUUAGGGAAGAACAAAUGUGUAAGUAACUAUGCACGUCUUGACGGUACCUAAUCAGAAAGCCACGGCGAACUACGU